rnacentral:rRNA from 1 species
UACGGGGGGGGUAAGCGUUGUUCGGAAUUAUUGGGCGUAAAGCGCGCGCAGGCGGUCCUUUAAGUUUGGUGUGAAAUCUCCCGGCUCAACUGGGAGGGUGCGCCGAAUACUGAGGGACUAGAGUACGGGAGAGGAAAGUGGAAUUCCUGGUGUAGCGGUGAAAUGCGUAGAUAUCAGGAGGAACACCGGUGGUGUAGACGGCUUUCUGGACCGUAACUGACGCUGAGACACGAAAGCGUGGGUAGCAAACAGG